AGUGAACGCUGGCGGUAGGCCUAACACAUGCAAGUCGAACGGCAGCACAGUAAGAGCUUGCUCUUACGGGUGGCGAGUGGCGGACGGGUGAGGAAUACAUCGGAAUCUACUUUUUCGUGGGGGAUAACGUAGGGAAACUUACGCUAAUACCGCAUACGACCUACGGGUGAAAGCAGGGGAUCUUCGGACCUUGCGCGAUUGAAUGAGCCGAUGUCGGAUUAGCUAGUUGGCGGGGUAAAGGCCCACCAAGGCGACGAUCCGUAGCUGGUCUGAGAGGAUGAUCAGCCACACGGGAACUGAGACACGGUCCAGACUCCUACGGGAGGCAGCAGUGGGGAAUAUUGGACAAUGGGCGCAAGCCUGAUCCAGCCAUACCGCGUGGGUGAAGAAGGCCUUCGGGUUUUAAAGCCCUUUUGUUGGGAAAGAAAAGCAGCAGGUUAAUACCCCGCUGUUCUGACGGUACCCAAAGAAUAAGCACCGGCUAACUUCGUG
rnacentral:rRNA from 1 species